GAUGGGGACGCAGGGGAGUGGAAACAAAGCUAUCAGACAUUAGCAGCACUCUCAGUCGUACUGGGGACAUGAAGAAGCCAUGCAGUCAUCCAGCUGCAGCGGGAGGCAAUAACAGCCACCAUCAGGCCUGGGAAAGGCUUAGAAAUGAUCAGCAGGAGACAGGGUUUAUCAGGCAAGACUUUAUCAAGAAGUUUUGGAUGGAGAGCAGAAAAAAGGGAGGAAAAUUAACUUGCUAAUUUAGCAUCUAUAUUCCAGGAACGUGGGAGGGUCAACGGGGAUAACAGAUAACAAUGCACCUUGUAAAAUGAAAUUGCUAGAGAGAGGUAAGAAUAUUAUUAAUGAGGGUGGAGGCUAAUGUUCCAAACUCGAUUUCAAUAUUCUGUGUCUUAGGAUCCACCCGCUCAUCCAGCCAUCCAGCACUAAUUGUUGGUAGACAUUGGUACUAAUAAUGUACGUGACCUGCUUGGCUAACGUGAAACAAAAGGGACAGCCAAGUGGCUAAAAGGAAGAGACGUGGAGCCACAGAGGACGUUUGAGCGUACUGCAGGACAUGCUUGCAUGCUGAUGAGAAGAGCCAGCUGACAGUGAGCAUCCUGCAGCUAAAUCCAUUUCCACCCACUACUGUGCUCUGCCCCAAGGUUUCUUUGGUUGGGAUCGUUCUGUGCUAAUGUGGCUCAGGGACUUGGUCUCCAGUUCUCAGAGCUGGCUCCACAAGGACCGGGACGCGGUGGCUUCUUACACAAACUGCAGAGCAGGUGGGAGGCAGCAGAUGGGAGGGCACCUCUUGCCAGUGCAAGAGAAGACUGCCAGAUGGAGUGGCUGCCCUGACACGGGACCAGCCUUGCGACUCUGGGCAGCGAUGGGGCCUGGGAUGCUGCAGACACAGUGAUGACCUGCCUGAGGCUGGCUGCCGCUCUCAUCUCAAUCCUGAGCUCUGAGCCAGCGCAUACACUGUAUGCAAAUACACAUGCCUGAGAAGAACUGAAUCCAACAGCGCCAGGAAUUGGACCAAACCCUCCCAUCAGAAACUGUAGCUGUUCUCAC